rnacentral:rRNA from 1 species
CAGCCGCCGCGGUAAUACGUAGGGUGCGAGCGUUAAUCGGAAUUACUGGGCGUAAAGCGCGCGCAGGUGGUUUAAUAAGUCUGAUGUGAAAGCCCACGGCUCAACCGUGGAGGGUCAUUGGAAACUGUUAAACUUGAGUGCAGGAGAGAAAAGUGGAAUUCCUAGUGUAGCGGUGAAAUGCGUAGAGAUUAGGAGGAACACCAGUGGCGAAGGCGGCUUUUUGGCCUGUAACUGACACUGAGGCGCGAAAGCGUGGGGAGCAAACAGGAUUAGAUACCCCCGUAGUCCCUGUCUCUUAUAC